rnacentral:lncRNA from 1 species
UAACUUAUGAUAUAACGCCAAAAGCUAGUUUGAUGAUGACCACAUAGCAAUAAUACAACGAGCAUGCAAAAACAAACUAGAGUUAAAUACUAACUAGAGUUAAAUUAUUGGAUGCAUGGGAUCACGUACGUCACAUCUUCAAGAAUAUGAAGAUCAGCUAAGAUGAUAGCAUGAGACCAAAUUCAUGUCUCAAAGGACAGUAGUAACUAUCCU